UAGGGAAUCUUCGGCAAUGGACGAAAGUCUGACCGAGCAACGCCGCGCGAGUGAAGAAGGUUUUCGGAUCGUAAAACUCUGUUGUUAGAGAAGAACAAGGACGUUAGUAACUGAACGUCCCCUGACGGUAUCUAACCGGAAAGCCACGGCUAACUACGUGCCAGCAGCCGCGGUAAUACGCAGGUGGCAAGCGUUGUCCGGAUUUAUUGGGCGUAAAGCGAGCGCAGGCGGUAUCUUAAGUCUGAUGUGAAAGCCCCCGGCUCAACCGGGGAGAGUAGUUGGAAACUGGGAGGCUUGAGUGCAGAAGAGGAGGGUGGAAUUCCAUGUGGAGGGGUGGAAUGCGUAGAUAUAUGGAGGAACACCAGUGGCGAAGGCGGCUCGCUGGUCUGUAACUGACGCUGAGGCUAGAAAGCGUGGGGAGCAAACAGG
rnacentral:rRNA from 1 species